AUUGAACGCUGGCGGCAGGCCUAACACAUGCAAGUCGAGCGGUAGAGAGAAGCUUGCUUCUCUUGAGAGCGGCGGACGGGUGAGUAAUGCCUAGGAAUCUGCCUGGUAGUGGGGGAUAACGUUCGGAAACGGACGCUAAUACCGCAUACGUCCUACGGGAGAAAGCAGGGGACCUUCGGGCCUUGCGCUAUCAGAUGAGCCUAGGUCGGAUUAGCUAGUUGGUGGGGUAAUGGCUCACCAAGGCGACGAUCCGUAACUGGUCUGAGAGGAGGAACAGUCACACUGGAACUAAGACACGGUCCAGACUCCUACGGGAGGCAGCAGUGGGGAAUAUUGGACAAUGGGCGAAAGCCUGAUCCAGCCAUGCCGCGUGUGUGAAGAAGGUCUUCGGAUUGUAAAGCACUUUAAGUUGGGAGGAAGGGCAGUAAAUUAAUACUUUGCUGUUUUGACGUUACCGACAGAAUAAGCACCGGCUAACUCUGUGCCAGCAGCCGCCGUAA
rnacentral:rRNA from 1 species